rnacentral:rRNA from 1 species
GAUCCUGGCUCAGGAUGAACGCUAGCUACAGGCUUAACACAUGCAAGUCGAGGGGCAGCAUGGUCUUAGCUUGCUAAGGCCGAUGGCGACCGGCGCACGGGUGAGUAACGCGUAUCCAACCUGCCUUACACUCUUGGACAGCCUUCUGAAAAGGGAGAUUAAUACAAGAUGUUAUCAUGGGUAAGCAUUUUCGCAUGAUUAAGUUACGGUUCGUAGA